CCAGGGGGACCCCAGCCAGACCACCUCGGCGGCAACAUCACCACCACCAGCAGGGGGGACUAGAGAGCUGAAGAGGAUACUUGUUUAGCAAAGUUGGAAUACUGUAAAGAGCAAGGUUUUUCUUUUCAUUAAAAGAAGUGUCUGGAAGGUGUGGGGAUUUGGUAACCUCAACAGCUCAAGAAAGUGGAGAAGGCAGAGAAUGGAGUUGCAGACUCUACAGGAGGCUCUGAAAGUAGAAAUUCAGGUUCACCAGAAAUUGGUUGCCCAAAUGAAACAGGAUCCACAGAAUGCUGACUUGAAGAAGCAGCUUCAUGAACUCCAAGCCAAAAUCACAGCUUUGAGUGAA